GACGUAGGGCGCGAGCGUUGUUCGGAAUUACUGGGUGUAAAGGGUUCGUAGGCGGUGCGGCAAGUUGGGAGUGAAAUCUCUAGGCUCAACCUAGAGACGGCUUCCAAAACUGCUGUGCUUGAGUGUGAGAGAGGCUCGUGGAAUUGCAGGUGUAGCGGUGAAAUGCGUAGAUAUCUGCAGGAACACCCGUGGCGAAAGCGGCGAGCUGGAUCACUACUGACGCUGAAGAACGAAAGCUAGGGGAGCAAACAGG
rnacentral:rRNA from 1 species